rnacentral:rRNA from 1 species
AUAAGCCACGGCUAACUACGUGCCAGCAGCCGCGGUAAUACGUAGGUGGCAAGCGUUGUCCGGAUUCACUGGGUUUAAAGGGUGCGUAGGCGGCUCCAUAAGUCAGUCGUUAAAGGUAUGGGCUUAACCCAAAUAAGGCGAUUGAUACUGUGGAGCUUGAAUUCGUUGGAGGUAUCCGGAAUGCGUAGUGUAGCGGUGAAAUGCACAGAUAUUACGCAGAACACCAAUUGCGGAGGCAGGAUACUACGACGAGAUUGACGCUGAGGCACGAAAGUGUGGGGAGCGAACAGGAUUAGAUACCCUGGUAGUCCACACUGUAAACGAUGGUUACUAGAUGUUCGGUAGCAAUACUGAGUGUUCAAGCGAAAGCGAUAAGUAACCCACCUGGGGAGUACGACCGCAAGGUUGAAACUCAAAGGAAUUGACGGGGCCCGCACAAGCGGUGGAGCAUGUGGUUUAAUUCGAUGAUACGCGAGGAACCUUACCUGGGCUAGAAUGCCU